rnacentral:rRNA from 1 species
ACGGAAGGCAGCAGUGGGGGAUAUUGCACAAUGGGCGAAAGGCUGAUGCAGCGACGCCGCGUGAGGGAAGACGGUUUUCGGAUUGUAAACCUCUGUCUUCGGGGACGAAAAUGACGGUACCCGAGGAGGAAGCCACGGCUAACUACGUGCCAGCAGCCGCGGUAAUACGUAGGUGGCAAGCGUUGUCCGGAAUUACUGGGUGUAAAGGGAGAAUAGGCGGGACUGCAAGUCCGUUGUUAAAUCUAUCGGCUCAACCGAUAGCUGCGGCGGAAACUGUAGUUCUUGAGUGAAGUAGAGGCAGGCGGAAUUCCUAGUGUAGCGGUGAAAUGCGUAGAUAUUAGGAGGAACACCAGUGGCGAAGGCGGCCUGCUGGGCUUUAACUGACGCUGAGGCUCGAAAGUGUGGGGAGCAAACAGGAUUAGAUACCCUGGUA